GAAGCUCCUUAUGGAGCGAAGUCUUUGAUUCCCCGCUGCCAAGAAAAGCUUCUAGCGAGAUAAAAGGUGCCUGUACCGCAAACCGACACAGGUAGGCGAGGAGAGAAUCCUAAGGUGUGCGAGAGAACUCUGGUUAAGGAACUCGGCAAAAUGACCCCGUAACUUCGGGAGAAGGGGUGCUUUCUUAACGGAAAGCCGCAGUGAAUAGGCCCAAGCGACUGUUUAGCAAAAACACAGCUCUCUGCGAAGCCGUAAGGCGAAGUAUAGGGGGUGACACCUGCCCGGUGCUGGAAGGUUAAGGAGAGGGGUUAGCGUAAGCGAAGCUCUGAACUGAAGCCCCAGUAAACGGCGGCCGUAACUAUAACGGUCCUAAGGUAGCGAAAUUCCUUGUCGGGUAAGUUCCGACCCGCACGAAAGGUGUAACGAUUUGGGCACUGUCUCAACCAGAGACUCGGUGAAAUUAUAGUACCUGUGAAGAUGCAGGUUACCCGCGACAGGACGGAAAGACCCCGUGGAGCUUUACUGUAGCCUGAUAUUGAAUUUUGGUACAGUUUGUACAGGAUAGGCGGGAGCCAUUGAAACCGGAGCGCUAGCUUCGGUGGAGGCGCUGGUGGGAUACCGCCCUGACUGUAUUGAAAUUCUAACCUACGGGUCUUAUCGACCCGGGAGACAGUGUCAGGUGGGCAGUUUGACUGGGGCGGUCGCCUCCUAAAGUGUAACGGAGGCGCCCAAAGGUUCCCUCAGAAUGGUUGGAAAUCAUUCGUAGAGUGCAAAGGCAUAAGGGAGCUUGACUGCGAGACCUACAAGUCGAGCAGGGACGAAAGUCGGGCUUAGUGAUCCGGUGGUUCCGCAUGGAAGGGCCAUCGCUCAACGGAUAAAAGCUACCCCGGGGAUAACAGGCUUAUCUCCCCCAAGAGUCCACAUCGACGGGGAGGUUUGGCACCUCGAUGUCGGCUCAUCGCAUCCUGGGGCUGUAGUCGGUCCCAAGGGUUGGGCUGUUCGCCCAUUAAAGCGGUACGCGAGCUGGGUUCAGAACGUCGUGAGACAGUUCGGUCCCUAUCCGUCGUGGGCGUAGGAAAUUUGAGAGGAGCUGUCCUUAGUACGAGAGGACCGGGAUGGACGCACCGCUGGUGUACCAGUUGUUCUGCCAAGGGCAUAGCUGGGUAGCUAUGUGCGGAAGGGAUAAGUGCUGAAAGCAUCUAAGCAUGAAGCCCCCCUCAAGAUGAGAUUUCCCAUAGCGUAAGCUAGUAAGAUCCCUGAAAGAUGAUCAGGUUGAUAGGUUCGAGGUGGAAGCAUGGUGACAUGUGGAGCUGACGAAUACUAAUAGAUCGAGGACUUAACCAUAUAA
rnacentral:rRNA from 1 species